GGGUCGGUGGUAGGAUGGUCAAAACCAUUGGUUUUGGACCACUACGACCCGGGUUCGAUUCCCGUAUUGGGCACU